UACAGAGGUCUCAAGCGUUGUUCGGAUUCAUUGGGCGUAAAGGGUGUGUAGGUGGCGCCGUAAGUCGGGUGUGAAAUUUCGGAGCUUAACUCCGAAACUGCAUUCGAUACUGGCGUGCUUGAGGACUGGAGAGGAGACUGGAAUUCAUGGUGUAGCAGUGAAAUGCGUAGAGAUCAUGAGGAAGACCAGUGGCGAAGGCGGGUCUCUGGACAGUUCCUGACACUGAGACACGAAGGCCAGGGGAGCAAACGGGG
rnacentral:rRNA from 1 species